rnacentral:rRNA from 1 species
GUCCACGCCGUAAACGAUGUCGAUUUGGAGGCUGUGUCCUUGAGACGUGGCUUCCGGAGCUAACGCGUUAAAUCGACCGCCUGGGGAGUACGGCCGCAAGGUUAAAACUCAAAUGAAUUGACGGGGGCCCGCACAAGCGGUGGAUGAUGUGGAUUAAUUCGAUGCAACGCGAAAAACCUUACCUAGCCUUGACAUGCCAGGAAGGUCUGAGAGAUCAGACCGUGCCCGCAAGGGAAUCUGGGCACAGGUGCUGCAUGGCUGUCGU